rnacentral:tRNA from 1 species
CAGAAUGUAGCUCAGUGGUAGAGCACCUGCCUAGCAUGCAUAAGGGCUGGGGUUCAAACCCCAGUAUUGGGG